CUAAAUUCCUAAGUGAAGGGACGGCCGCUGCUUAUCUGCUUCUUCCUCACAAAAGAGUGGGAACCUCUUCUCAGUUUUCAAGCUCCGCAUCACAAAAGAGCCGGAACCUCUUCUCAGUUUUCAAGCUCCACACCACAAAAGAGAGAACAAAAAUCACCCUAGAGCUAAGGCAAAAGAGGAGCCGCUGCUUUUAUACUUCUUCCUCCAAAAACACUACCAUUUUUAGCUCCAAAAAUACCAUUUAAGCAGCCCCAAAUAAGCUGAAAUUCCAGCUCAAAAUCAGCUAAAAUACUGCCUAAAAAAUGCCAUGAAACUAGCUCCAAAAUCACCCUUUAACACCACGAAACAGCCCCAAGAUCUUUCAAAAAUCCGAGCCGUCGUUAAGAUGGUCGUCGUCCGAGGUUCCGUUGAUGAGGUCGACGAUGUUCGGUUCUACUUCUAACGAGUUGUUGUAUAAGUUGGAGGAUGAUUGUUAUCAUCAUAUUAAAUAAGUACUUUGCUUUGCAAUACUACAGACUCAAUGACAAUUGGCACGCAAGAAAGCAAAUUGUGGAUGUGAAAUUUAACAGAAUCUGUAUUCUUGUAAAGAACUAUGGCUUUUGCCCAAAAAUCCUUCAUUUCCAGGGAUGGCUUGAUGUACUGCUCUGCUUCUUUGAAUACCCUGAGAAGCUCUUUUAAGGGGGUUCUCAAUAAUUUUUCAUUUGA